rnacentral:rRNA from 1 species
AUUGAACGCUGGCGGCAUGCCUAAUACAUGCAAGUCGAGCGGACAGAGGAGGCUCUUUCCUGUCUGAAGUUGCCGGCGGGCGGGUAAUGCCCACGUGGAUACCCUGCCUAGGGGAAUAGCAUCACUACGGGAGACCUGAUCUCAUAUCGGAUAAUAUAGAGAACGGGGGGGUUCAAUGGAGAAAGAGGGAUCUGCUGUCCCUAGUAGAUGUUACCGGGUCGGAUUAGUUAGUUGGUAAGGUAACGGCUUACCAAGGCAACGAUGCGUAGCUGAUCUGAGAGGAUGAUCGGCCACACUGGAACUGAGACACGGUCCAGACUCCUACGGGAGGCAGCAGUAGGGAAUAUUCGACAAUGGGCGAAAGCCUGACCCAGCAAUGCCGCGUGAGUGAAGAAGGUCUUCGGAUUGUAAAACUCUGUUAGUAGGGAAGAAGAGAUGUGUGAUUAUACAUGGCCGUCUUGACGGUACCUACACAAUAAGCACCGGCUAACUACGUG